rnacentral:lncRNA from 15 species
GGGGAAAACUCUGUUNNNNNNNNNNNNNNNNNNNNGUACUGGUAUUGAACCCCCUGAAAUGAAAAACGCAGGAGCUGCCUGCGUUUUGGAAUGAUGGGAACGUGAAAAUAUGCGUCUUUCAGAUCCACUGACACACAGUAAUCUCCGAGACGCACACAUUCCAGCACUCUCUUGAUCGUCAGCAUGUGGAAAGGUCUGACCAUUAUUGAUUUGUUGAACAGGGACAGAUCUAGGAUGGGUCUCAUCCCCCCUGUUUUCUUGGGAACCAGAAAAUAGUGGGAGUGAAACCCCCGAUUUUCCUCCCCGCGAGGAACUCUGGAAAUUGCUUUUUUUGCCAGAAGUUCCUGCAACUCCGACUGGAGAGCAAAACGCUGGUCCUGAGACGACAGGACCGUCUCCACAAUCCCGUUGAAGCUGGGAGGUGGAGAGGCGAAUUGCAGGGUGUAGCCUUUGCUUAUCAGCCUGCUCAUCCAGCUGUCCAUCACACAAACGCGCUGCCACACCGAGGAGCACUCGGAGAGCGGGCGUACAUUUUCCUGCUUUGCUGUCGUUGCAAUGGAAACGAGCUGCGACAGAGCCCUUGCCGCCGCCCACGAACGGGAUGUCGUGACACGCCAGCGUUCCCGCUCUCUGAUGAGAGGAGGGAGCCGCAGUUUACAGGCGGUAGUGUGUGUAUAUUGUCCACACGAAGCGCACGUGCAGCGCUCGUGGGCUCAUUGUCACAAGCACAUAUAGGGGAAAAAUCUGUUUGACAAACAGAGGAUGUGUAGUGCUUCAAAACUUCGAGACCGAGCUGUCCGCUAACCGGCAGGUUAGGGAGAGCUGGCUCGCUUUUUGUGGGGAACAUGUGAGUAACUACAGCUGCCUCAGCAAAGACAGGUGUAGGUUGUUUGCUCAGUAGGAUGUUGCUCUUUAGGGGAAGAUGUUUUUGUUUUAUCUCAAAACAGUCUGCCCCAGUAACCCCAGCAGCGUCAGCCGCAGUAGCGGCAACAUCACCCACAACAACAGCAGCAUUAGUGGCAACAUUCAGAACAUUAACACACAUGUCCCCCCCAUCAUGUCAGCGUCUCCGGCUCUGUUUCUUCGGAGGCUCAAGGGGAGGAUUGGCCCAGCCGAAGCCCGAGCGCGGAGGGUGGGAAGGAAGGCCGACCCGGCAUGGGGGAGGAAGCCGGGCGGUGAAGAGCCGCUCCCGUCGCCGCAGGGGGUUGCUUCCGGCCCCGGCUGCCGCUGGGACGAUUGGGGCGACGGUCAUCGAAGCGCUGCUGGCGCGCAGGCUGCUCCAGUGUGGGGGGCAUCUCAGGCUCUGCUGCAAUCUUCAGGGCGCUGGAGACAAGCAGGGCAACGUUGUUUGUCGCAGCAUAGGCUUGGGCGGCAGUCUGAUGGAUCCGGUCGGCCUGCCGCACGAUGUACUGGUCCUUCGGUGAGGUCAGUAGGGGCCGCCUUCCGACCGCCGUAUUGA